AUGAACGCUGGCGGCGUGCCUAAUACAUGCAAGUCGAGCGAACAGACGAGGAGCUUGCUCCUCUGACGUUAGCGGCGGACGGGUGAGUAACACGUGGAUAACCUACCUAUAAGACUGGGAUAACUUCGGGAAACCGGAGCUAAUACCGGAUAAUAUAUUGAACCGCAUGGUUCAAUAGUGAAAGACGGUUUUGCUGUCACUUAUAGAUGGAUCCGCGCCGCAUUAGCUAGUUGGUAAGGUAACGGCUUACCAAGGCAACGAUGCGUAGCCGACCUGAGAGGGUGAUCGGCCACACUGGAACUGAGACACGGUCCAGACUCCUACGGGAGGCAGCAGUAGGGAAUCUUCCGCAAUGGGCGAAAGCCUGACGGAGCAACGCCGCGUGAGUGAUGAAGGUCUUCGGAUCGUAAAACUCUGUUAUUAGGGAAGAACAAAUGUGUAAGUAACUAUGCACGUCUUGACGGGACCUAAUCAGAAAGCCACGGCGAACUACGU
rnacentral:rRNA from 1 species